rnacentral:rRNA from 1 species
AUUGAACGCUGGCGGCAGGCUUAACACCUGCAAGUCGAGCGGAGAGAGGUAGCUUGCUACUGAUCUUAGCGGCGGACGGGUGAGUAAUGCUUAGGAAUCUGCCUAUUAGUGGGGGACAACAUUUCGAAAGGAAUGCUAAUACCGCAUACGUCCUACGGGAGAAAGCAGGGGAUCUUCGGACCUUGCGCUAAUAGAUGAGCCUAAGUCGGAUUAGCUAGUUGGUGGGGUAAAGGCCUACCAAGGCGACGAUCUGUAGCGGGUCUGAGAGGAUGAUCCGCCACACUGGGACUGAGACACGGCCCAGACUCCUACGGGAGGCAGCAGUGGGGAAUAUUGGACAAUGGGCGCAAGCCUGAUCCAGCCAUGCCGCGUGUGUGAAGGAGGCCUUAUGGUUGUAAAGCACUUUAAGCGAGGAGGAGGCUACUUUAGUUAAUACCUAGAGAUAGUGGACGUUACUCGCAGAAUAAGCACCGGCUAACUCUGUGCCAGCCGCCGCAGUAA